UGGGGAAUCUUCCGCAAUGGACGAAAGUCUGACGGAGCAACGCCGCGUGUAUGAUGAAGGUCUUCGGAUUGUAAAGUACUGUCUUUGGGGAAGAACGGUCUUCUUGAGAAUAUUAAGGAGACAUGACGGUACCCAAGGAGGAAGCCCCGGCUAACUACGUGCCAGCAGCCGCGGUAAUACGUAGGGGGCAAGCGUUGUCCGGAAUUAUUGGGCGUAAAGGGCGCGUAGGCGGAUACUUAAGUCCGGUGUGAAAGAUCAGGGCUCAACCCUGAGAGUGCAUCGGAAACUGGGUAUCUUGAGGACAGGAGAGGAAAGUGGAAUUCCACGUGUAGCGGUGAAAUGCGUAGAUAUGUGGAGGAACACCAGUGGCGAAGGCGACUUUCUGGACUGUAACUGACGC
rnacentral:rRNA from 1 species